UUGGCCAUAGGCUCGGCCAAUCAAUGACUUGCAGGCUGGUGGACUGGCGAAUGACAGGAGAGGAGGGGCGGGACAAGGAGAGAGAGGGAAAACAGAAAGCGGCGAAGAUGGCGGCGUCCGUCCUCGUUAGGGAGGGAAAAUUGUUUUUUACUCAAGUAUAUGACUAACCGUCGUCAACGUGUGAGUCUCGUCACGUCAGAGAAGGACGACGCCAGCCUGUUGACUGCUGCAGUGCGGACGUGUUUGUGGCUAACUUUAUAUUCUUUAAAAAAAAGCUAUUUUAUUUCAAAUGGAAUAGCAAUUUCGGCAGAAUAUGUUAUGGUAGUUAAGUAAAGUUUAUUUGCUGUGUAUUUUUCUUGAUGCGACGCUCGGAACUGCAUCAUCUACUGCCUGGAUUUUUGCCUACAACUGCUCCUGCUGCGUUCGCUUAAUCAACGCAAACAUGAAUAGAAAGACUGUGCCUGUCUCUUUAUCAACCUUAAGACAAAGGACUCGUGUAGACGUUCAAAAAAGGCUUCAUCAUUGUGGUAUGCAAAUUCAUAAAUUUCUUGUUUUAAAAUAACGUCAUCAGUGUUUCCCACAGG